UACGUAGGGUGCGAGCGUUAAUCGGAAUUACUGGGCGUAAAGCGUGCGCAGGCGGCUUUGCAAGACAGAUGUGAAAUCCCCGGGCUCAACCUGGGAACUGCAUUGUGACUGCAAGGCUAGAGUACGGCAGAGGGGGGAUGGAAUUCCGCGUGUAGCAGUGAAAUGCGUAGAUAUGCGGAGGAACACCAAUGGCGAAGGCAAUCCCCUGGGCCUGUACUGACGCUCAUGCACGAAAGCGUGGGGAGCAAACAGG
rnacentral:rRNA from 1 species